rnacentral:rRNA from 1 species
GCGGAGGAAAAGAAACUAACAAGGAUUCCCUUAGUAACGGCGAGUGAAGCGGGAAGAGCUCAAAUUUGAAAUCUUCAAGGUUUUACCUUGACGAAUUGUAGUUUAAAGAAGUGUUUUCUGUUGAAGUUUUGGUAAAAGUUCUUUGGAAUAGGACAUCAUAGAGGGUGAGAAUCCCGUAUUUGACCAUUAUUUUCAGCUGUGUGAUACACUUUCAAAGAGUCGGAUUGUUUGGGAAUGCAGUCCAAAAUGGGUGGUAAAUUUCAUCUAAAGCUAAAUAUUGGCGAGAGACCGAUAGCGAACAAGUACCGUGAGGGAAAGAUGAAAAGAACUUUGAAAAGAGAGUUAAACAGUACGUGAAAUUGUCAAAAGGGAAGCGUUUGACACCAGUGUUGUUUUCUCGAAAAUCAAUUAAAAAAAGUUGGAUUUUGUGUUGUAUUGACCUUAACAGCUUGCUUCACUCUUUUCCAGCUUUUUUUAAUGCACUUUUCGUUUAACAAGUCAACAUCAGUUUCUUUUGUUGUAAAAGGGUCAUUGGAAGGUGGCUUUCUCUUCGGAGAAAGUGUUUAUAGCCUUUGAUCUCUGCAAUCGGAGAGACUGAGGUCUGCAGCGUAGAUCCUUCGGGGUUAGAUACAUUUGUGCUAAGCUACAGCUUUUCAUAGACAACUUGUUGACUAUGUUUAGUCUUGUGACUUACCCGCUUAUGCUAUUUUACCUACGCUUAGGAUAUUGUUGACAAAAUGGUUUUAAACGACCCGUCUUGAAACACGGACC